rnacentral:rRNA from 1 species
GGACGAACGCUGGCGGCGUGCUUAACACAUGCAAGUCGAGCGAGGUCCAACCGGUGGCAACACCGGGGAAGACCUAGCGGCGAACGGGUGAGUAACACGUGAGAAACCUGCCCCGAAGUUCGGGAUAACCGGGGAAACCCGAGCUAAUACCGGAUACCCACGAUUGGUCGCAUGGCCGAUCGUGGAAAGAACUUCGCUUCGGGAGGGUCUCGCGGCCUAUCAGCUUGUUGGUGGGGUAACGGCCCACCAAGGCAUCGACGGGUAGCUGGUCUGAGAGGACGAUCAGCCACACUGGGACUGAGACACGGCCCAGACUCCUACGGGAGGCAGCAGUGGGGGAAUCUUGCGCAAUGGGCGAAAGCCUGACGCAGCAACGCCGCGUGCGGGAUGAAGGCCUUCGGGUUGUAAACCGCUUUCAGUAGGGACGAAAUUGACGGUACCUACAGAAGAAGCCCCGGCCAACUACGUG